GGAGAAUCUGCUGUGUUAGAGGACAGUCUUGUUGAAAUGUGCAGCUCAAAUAGUCAGGUACCUGCGAGCCCAUCCCCUGCCAUGGUUUUGAAGAAGCAGCAGCGAGCUGCUGAUGGGAUGUCACUGUGAACAAGCUGCUUUCGUCUGAGCAGACGCACCUCCAUGUCUAGCGAACAUCCGAGAAAGGGCUGGUGCUCCUGCCGGAGUGCAGUGACAAGGGAUCAGGAGCUGACAGCAGGCUUGGAGCUUCGUGAGAAAAGAGACUGCUUAUCGCUGAGCCAGGGAGACAUAGACAGUCACAAUGACUGUGUAUCAGUCAACCCAAGGUGACAAGAAACAGCAGCAAGCAGAGAUCCAGUGGAGCAGAUAAUAAUAACACAGGGCUAAUCCGAGUGGUUUUAAAUAAUGGCAGCUUCCUAAUUCUUGGGCGCUUUCUGUUCUCUGUGUGCACUGACAAACACUUUAUUUAGAACUGUAUCUAAUAUCGCGUUGGGCCACCGUUGCCACAGCCUUAAUGAGAUGUGGCAUAGACUCUACAAAGUGCUGGAAGGUGUCUCCAGGGAUCCAUUCCAGUCACUGAUAUUUUACGCAGCUGGUAGACAGAGAAUCAAAAUGAUGACUGCGUUAUUCAAAUUCAUCCCAAACAUGCUCAAUUGGGUUGAAAUCUGGGGAGGGUGGUUUUAAAAACUUUCUUCCACCCCCCCUCCCCUCCUCCCUCCUCCCCUCCCCUCUCUCACUCUCUUCCCCCUCCCCUCUCUCCCUCUGCUUCCCUCCCACUCUCCCUCUGGCUGGCAGUGUCAGUUAUGUAAAGUCCUGAAUACUGAUGAGAGCAUGGCUGCUUUAGUUGGAAGCCCAGCUGCUAUUUCAGGAGCAUUUCGAAUCAGCUGGAAACCUCGACUGACGUCAGAGUGACAUCAAACUGAACACAGAGAGAGAUGGGGGGGGGGAAUAACAGUUGAACCACACAUCUAAAAUAAUGUUCCGCUAAAACAAGAUUAGCGUUUUAUUAAACUCAUUUUGUUCAGUUCAGUGCACCUGGCUUCUGUAGGGCUCAGUUUACCUGAAUAGACUAUUAAUCAAUGUCAUUCUUCUAUAUCUUCAUACAGAGCAUCUGAGGCAGAACACAGCACAGGCUAUGAAAGCAUCACUGUGUGCCUGUCUGGAGAGGGGCUGGCAAAGUAUAGGAACACACAAAGGUCAGCUUUGCAGGUGGCAAUCGCUUCUGAAGUGGUAGGAGCACAUUAGCCAAUAUGAAAAGAGAAUACAAUAUAUUUAUAUCAAAUACACACACACACACACACACACACACAUAUAUAUAUAUGUAUACACACAGUAUAUUAAAUAUCAUGUCACCGGAUGUAUUUCAAAGCUAUGUAAAAUGACAGAUUGUUACAUUCAUGCAAUGGGCAGUAGUUUUGCAUAAAACAAGCAGAAAGUGAGCUAAUUAGCAAACCUACCUGAGCUUUUCCAAAGCAUCUCUGAGCUGAAUAUUCUGACUCUGCUGAACAAGCGCUGAGGGUGGAUGAAUCUGAUACACAGCCUGAAUACAAAGUCUGAAGAAACUAAACGACCUCCAGCAAAGGGAAACUCGAGGGAAAUGUUUGAUGUGCAAAUUAGGUGGGAAUUUAAACAUGUUUAUUUUAUGUAACGCUUUGGUUAUAUAACUAACCCCUGCCAGGCAGUGAAGACCCAUUAGGAGGUAUCUCCAGGAAAACGGCAGUGAACCAUUGUGAUGUCACAGAGUUCCAGGAAUGUGGGUCAGCAGGACCAAAGUCAGGUCACAUGCCCUGCGAGGCUGCAAUCACACCUCGACUCUAACAAGGACAUUGUGCAACAUGUUAUUGAUUCAGGGAUUGAGAGUUCUUGACAGGAGACUGCCCUGACUGCUUAGCUAUUAUUAACGCCCAAUUUGCCAUGACUCAGGGGCUCAGUCUUAAAGGGCCCACGCUCCUUUAGAGGUUCUGCACAGCAAGGAAGAGGGAAAGUAGAGAAUAAUCAAUACAUCAUAGAUGUAUGAUCAGAAAUAAAAGUGGCCACUUUAAAACAUUGUCUUCAAGCUGUUUUCCGUUAAAUAUACAGAGCGCUGAGAAGUAAGUACUUGCAAUUGUAACUGGAACUAGUUUGUUUCAAAGUAAUAAGCUACUGUGACCAGUUACAAUUUUGUUUAAGUAACCAUAACAGAUUUCUUUUUUAAAGUAACUUCACCAGCUCUGUCCCAAAAAAACUGUUGAUUCAGUAAAGCCUCUCCUUCAAACCGACAAUGAGCUGAUCUGUUUAAUUUUCUCUGUCUUUUUUAAAUUAUUGUUACUCAUCUAACCAGCGGCAGCAAACCCCAUAUUAGCCCGGCAGUGGGUUUUUGGUUUACCCCUGGAAUACAGUCUUAUAAAAGCUCCAGCGCAGUUCUUCAGUUUCUCAGGGCGGUGUGAAGCUGUGUGGUUUGGGUGUGACCUGGACACGUCACUGCCCUGUGUACGGAGAUCACAGUAACCAGCGAUGCUCUGUGAGUCUGUCCCAGCUCCAGCAGGACUUCAGACUAGACGGGACAAAGUGCUGAGUGUGCACUAGGGCAGGAGUGUACUGCUGAGGGAGUGUACUGCAGAGAGAGUGUACUGCAGAGAGAGUGUACUGCAGAUUCAAACAGAACUGGGGUCAAUGAUAAUGGUAAAAGUGCAAUUUGUAAAUCACUUGUUAUACAAUCAUUAAUCUAGUAUUUUCAACCCCAUUUGUUUGAAAACAUUUUCUAUAGUAUGUUUGUGUAUUUGUAGCUGUGAUUAUUGCUGGUUAUUUUGAAUAAACAGAGUAAGCAUGUUAA